ACUAAGCGUACACGGUGGAUGCCCUGGCAGUCAGAGGCGAUGAAGGACGUGCUAAUCUGCGAUAAGCGUCGGUAAGGUGAUAUGAACCGUUAUAACCGGCGAUUUCCGAAUGGGGAAACCCAGUGUGAUUCGUCACACUAUCAUUAACUGAAUCCAUAGGUUAAUGAGGCGAACCGGGGGAACUGAAACAUCUAAGUACCCCGAGGAAAAGAAAUCAACCGAGAUUCCCCCAGUAGCGGCGAGCGAACGGGGAGCAGCCCAGAGCCUGAAUCAGUGUGUGUGUUAGUGGAAGCGUCUGGAAAGGCGCGCGAUACAGGGUGACAGCCCCGUACACAAAAAUGCACAUGCUGUGAGCUCGAUGAGUAGGGCGGGACACGUGGUAUCCUGUCUGAAUAUGGGGGGACCAUCCUCCAAGGCUAAAUACUCCUGACUGACCGAUAGUGAACCAGUACCGUGAGGGAAAGGCGAAAAGAACCCCGGCGAGGGGAGUGAAAAAGAACCUGAAACCGUGUACGUACAAGCAGUGGGAGCCUCUUUAUGGGGUGACUGCGUACCUUUUGUAUAAUGGGUCAGCGACUUAUAUUCUGUAGCAAGGUUAACCGAAUAGGGGAGCCGAAGGGAAACCGAGUCUUAACUGGGCGUUAAGUUGCAGGGUAUAGACCCGAAACCCGGUGAUCUAGCCAUGGGCAGGUUGAAGGUUGGGUAACACUAACUGGAGGACCGAACCGACUAAUGUUGAAAAAUUAGCGGAUGACUUGUGGCUGGGGGUGAAAGGCCAAUCAAACCGGGAGAUAGCUGGUUCUCCCCGAAAGCUAUUUAGGUAGCGCCUCGUGAAUUCAUCUCCGGGGGUAGAGCACUGUUUCGGCAAGGGGGUCAUCCCGACUUACCAACCCGAUGCAAACUGCGAAUACCGGAGAAUGUUAUCACGGGAGACACACGGCGGGUGCUAACGUCCGUCGUGAAGAGGGAAACAACCCAGACCGCCAGCUAAGGUCCCAAAGUCAUGGUUAAGUGGGAAACGAUGUGGGAAGGCCCAGACAGCCAGGAUGUUGGCUUAGAAGCAGCCAUCAUUUAAAGAAAGCGUAAUAGCUCACUGGUCGAGUCGGCCUGCGCGGAAGAUGUAACGGGGCUAAACCAUGCACCGAAGCUGCGGCAGCGACACUAUGUGUUGUUGGGUAGGGGAGCGUUCUGUAAGCCUGCGAAGGUGUACUGUGAGGUAUGCUGGAGGUAUCAGAAGUGCGAAUGCUGACAUAAGUAACGAUAAAGCGGGUGAAAAGCCCGCUCGCCGGAAGACCAAGGGUUCCUGUCCAACGUUAAUCGGGGCAGGGUGAGUCGACCCCUAAGGCGAGGCCGAAAGGCGUAGUCGAUGGGAAACAGGUUAAUAUUCCUGUACUUGGUGUUACUGCGAAGGGGGGACGGAGAAGGCUAUGUUGGCCGGGCGACGGUUGUCCCGGUUUAAGCGUGUAGGCUGGUUUUCCAGGCAAAUCCGGAAAAUCAAGGCUGAGGCGUGAUGACGAGGCACUACGGUGCUGAAGCAACAAAUGCCCUGCUUCCAGGAAAAGCCUCUAAGCAUCAGGUAACAUCAAAUCGUACCCCAAACCGACACAGGUGGUCAGGUAGAGAAUACCAAGGCGCUUGAGAGAACUCGGGUGAAGGAACUAGGCAAAAUGGUGCCGUAACUUCGGGAGAAGGCACGCUGAUAUGUAGGUGAAGUCCCUCGCGGAUGGAGCUGAAAUCAGUCGAAGAUACCAGCUGGCUGCAACUGUUUAUUAAAAACACAGCACUGUGCAAACACGAAAGUGGACGUAUACGGUGUGACGCCUGCCCGGUGCCGGAAGGUUAAUUGAUGGGGUUAGCGGUAACGCGAAGCUCUUGAUCGAAGCCCCGGUAAACGGCGGCCGUAACUAUAACGGUCCUAAGGUAGCGAAAUUCCUUGUCGGGUAAGUUCCGACCUGCACGAAUGGCGUAAUGAUGGCCAGGCUGUCUCCACCCGAGACUCAGUGAAAUUGAACUCGCUGUGAAGAUGCAGUGUACCCGCGGCAAGACGGAAAGACCCCGUGAACCUUUACUAUAGCUUGACACUGAACAUUGAGCCUUGAUGUGUAGGAUAGGUGGGAGGCUUUGAAGUGUGGACGCCAGUCUGCAUGGAGCCGACCUUGAAAUACCACCCUUUAAUGUUUGAUGUUCUAACGUUGGCCCCUGAUCGGGGUUGCGGACAGUGUCUGGUGGGUAGUUUGACUGGGGCGGUCUCCUCCUAAAGAGUAACGGAGGAGCACGAAGGUUGGCUAAUCCUGGUCGGACAUCAGGAGGUUAGUGCAAUGGCAUAAGCCAGCUUGACUGCGAGCGUGACGGCGCGAGCAGGUGCGAAAGCAGGUCAUAGUGAUCCGGUGGUUCUGAAUGGAAGGGCCAUCGCUCAACGGAUAAAAGGUACUCCGGGGAUAACAGGCUGAUACCGCCCAAGAGUUCAUAUCGACGGCGGUGUUUGGCACCUCGAUGUCGGCUCAUCACAUCCUGGGGCUGAAGUAGGUCCCAAGGGUAUGGCUGUUCGCCAUUUAAAGUGGUACGCGAGCUGGGUUUAGAACGUCGUGAGACAGUUCGGUCCCUAUCUGCCGUGGGCGCUGGAGAACUGAGGGGGGCUGCUCCUAGUACGAGAGGACCGGAGUGGACGCAUCACUGGUGUUCGGGUUGUCAUGCCAAUGGCACUGCCCGGUAGCUAAAUGCGGAAGAGAUAAGUGCUGAAAGCAUCUAAGCACGAAACUUGCCCCGAGAUGAGUUCUCCCUGACUCCUUGAGAGUCCUGAAGGAACGUUGAAGACGACGACGUUGAUAGGCCGGGUGUGUAAGCGCAGCGAUGCGUUGAGCUAACCGGUACUAAUGAACCGUGAGGCUUAACC
rnacentral:rRNA from 1 species